rnacentral:rRNA from 1 species
GGCGAGUGAAGCGGCAACAGCUCAAAUUUGAAAUCUGGCGCAAGCCCGAGUUGUAAUUUGUAGAGGAUGCUUCUGGGCAGCGGCCGGUCUAAGUUCCUUGGAACAGGACGUCAUAGAGGGUGAGAAUCCCGUAUGCGACCGGCUGGCACCCUCCACGUAGCUCCUUCGACGAGUCGAGUUGUUUGGGAAUGCAGCUCUAAAUGGGAGGUAAAUUUCUUCUAAAGCUAAAUACCGGCGAGAGACCGAUAGCGCACAAGUAGAGUGAUCGAAAGAUGAAAAGCACUUUGGAAAGAGAGUUAAAAAGCACGUGAAAUUGUUGAAAGGGAAGCGCUUGCAACCAGACUUGUCGGCGGCGUUCCGCCGGUCUUCUGACCGGUCCACUCGCCGCCUGCAGGCCAGCGUCGUCUGGGGCCGCCGGAGAAAGGCUUGGGGAAUGUAGCUCCCUCGGGAGUGUUAUAGCCCCUCGCACAAUACGGCGCGCGUCGGGCGAGGUCCGCGCUUCGGCAAGGACGCUGGCGUAAUGGUCGUAAGCGGCCCGUCUUGAAACACGGACCAAGGAGUCGAUCAAUUAUGCGAGUGUUCGGGUGGAAAACCCCUACGCGCAAUGAAAGUGAACGGAGGCGAGAACUUCGGUGCAUCGUCGACCGAUCCUGAUGUUUUCGGAUGGAUUUGAGUAAGAGCAUAGCUGAUCGGACCCGAA